AGUGAACGCUGGCGGUAGGCCUAACACAUGCAAGUCGAACGGCAGCACAGUAAGAGCUUGCUCUUACGGGUGGCGAGUGGCGGACGGGUGAGGAAUACAUCGGAAUCUACUUUUUCGUGGGGGAUAACGUAGGGAAACUUACGCUAAUACCGCAUACGACCUACGGGUGAAAGCAGGGGAUCUUCGGACCUUGCGCGAUUGAAUGAGCCGAUGUCGGAUUAGCUAGUUGGCGGGGUAAAGGCCCACCAAGGCGACGAUCCGUAGCUGGUCUGAGAGGAUGAUCAGCCACACUGGAACUGAGACACGGUCCAGACUCCCACGGGAGGUAGCAGUGGGGAAUAUUGGACAAUGGGCGCAAGCCUGAUCCAGCCAUACCGCGUGGGUGAAGAAGGCCUUCGGGUUGUAAAGCCCUUUUGUUGGGAAAGAAAAGCAGCAGGUUAAUACCCCGCUGUUCUGACGGUACCCAAAGAAUAAGCACCGGCUAACUUCGUG
rnacentral:rRNA from 1 species